GUCCACGUCGUCGUGCAGUACAAAUAAAUACAACUAUCGGUAACAACAAUUACAACGACUACAAUUACAUAUAGCAACAACAACAACAACAACAAUAUCGAACGUCGUUAGUCGACCGCGAGUUUCCGAAAAGGUUGCGCGCGCGAUAGAUUUAUUUUUCGUACCUACUCGUGCGGACGUUUCGAUUAUUUGAUGUUGUUAUUAUUAUUAUUACUGUUAUGAUUAUUUUUAUCGUCGGCGACCAUACACAUCACACCCACACACGAUCGAUUUCGUUCGCGGAUAGGGUCGUUUUACGCGC